rnacentral:rRNA from 1 species
UACGUAGGGGGCAAGCGUUGUCCGGAUUCAUUGGGCGUAAAGAGCGUGUAGGCGGCCAGGUAGGUCGGUUGUGAAAACUGGAGGCUCAACCUUCAGAGGUCGACCGAAACCAUCUGGCUAGAGUCCGGAAGAGGAGAGUGGAAUUCCUGGUGUAGCGGUGAAAUGCGCAGAUAUCAGGAGGAACACCUAUUGCGAAGGCAGCUCGCUGGGACGUGACUGACGCUGAGACGCGAAAGCGUGGGGAGCAAACAGG